rnacentral:rRNA from 1 species
UACAGAGGAUGCAAGCGUUAUCCGGAAUGAUUGGGCGUAAAGCGUCUGUAGGUGGCUUUUUAAGUCCGCCGUCAAAUCCCAGGGCUCAACUCUGGACAGGCGGUGGAAACUACCAAGCUGGAGUACGGUAGGGGCAGAGGGAAUUUCCGGUGGAGCGGUGAAAUGCGCAGAUAUCAGGAAGAACACCCGUGGCGAAGGCGGCUCUCUGGGACGGUACUGACGCUGAGACGCGAAAGCGUGGGGAGCAAACAGG